GCCGAAGUGUCAGAGAGGCCCAACGUAUCAGAAUCAAAAUUCGCAGGUUCGAAUCCUGUCUUCGGCA
rnacentral:tRNA from 1 species